CCCUUAGAUGUUCUGGGCCGCACGCGUGCUACACUGAUGCAUUCAACGAGUCUAAAACCUGGUCUGAUAGGGCUGGGUAAUCUUUUGAAAGUGCAUCGUGAUUGGGAUAGAUGAUUGCAAUUCUUCAUCUUCAACGAGGAAUGCCUAGUAAACGCAAGUCAUCAGCUUGCAUUGAUUACGUCCCUGCCCUUUGUACACACCGCCCGUCGCUCCUACCGAUUGAAUGAUCCGAUGAAUACCAUGGAUUGAGAGUACGAAUAGGUUCGCUUAUUUCUGCUGCUCGAGAAGUGGAGUAAAUCUUAUCAUUUAGAGGAAAGAGAAGUCGUAACA
rnacentral:rRNA from 1 species